GCAGGAUCAACCAGGUAGCAUUCCUCACUGACACCGGCAUUGCAAGACGGUGCCAAAACCGCAAGGGCCCUAGCACGUCAAUACAGCACCGGACGUCAUUCGUUUGUGCGAAUUACGCUAAUUUUGGGCAAAAGGAAGUCAUCGACCCCAUACCCUCUAGAUAUUCCGCAUUCGAGAGCUCAAGCAAAAAUUCGUGGGCCGCAACAACAACACGACGGGUGAGUAGCACGGGACACAAAUAAUGCUUUGAAGUUCACCCGAAACCGCACCCUUGGAAGGGGCAACACUAGGCGAACGAUGGGCAAAUUGACAAUCGAAUUCCAUUGGUGUAGGUAUGCAACACAGGAAACCGCAACAUACGGCCAAGGCUAAUAUUGCUCUUGGGCCCGACAAGUGAAGAGGAUUGUAUGGGAGGACGUCGCUGCCCAAGCAGAGAUCCA
rnacentral:misc_RNA from 1 species